GUCCACGCCCUAAACGAUGUCAACUGGUUGUUGGGAGAGUGAAAUCUCUUAGUAACGAAGCUAACGCGUGAAGUUGACCGCCUGGGGAGUACGGUCGCAAGAUUAAAACUCAAAGGAAUUGACGGGGACCCGCACAAGCGGUGGAUGAUGUGGAUUAAUUCGAUGCAACGCGAAGAACCUUACCUACCCUUUACAUGUCCAGGACUUACCAGAGAUGGUUUGGUGCCCGAAAGGGAACUGGAACACAGGUGCUGCAUGGCUGUCGU
rnacentral:rRNA from 1 species